rnacentral:rRNA from 1 species
UACGUAGGGAGCGAGCGUUGUCCGGAUUCAUUGGGCGUAAAGAGCUCGUAGGCGGCUUGGCAAGUCGGGUGUGAAAACUCCAGGCUCAACCUGGAGACGCCACCCCGAGACUGCCAUGGCUAGAGUCCGGUAGGGGACCACGGGAAUUCCUGGUGUAGCGGUGAAAUGCGCAGAUAUCAGGAGGAACACCGGUGGCGAAGGCGGUGGUCUGGGCCGGCACUGACGCUGAGGAGCGAAAGCGUGGGGAGCGAACAGGA